UGAUUAAAAAUAUUAUGUUAGUAAUUUGUAAGCACACUGCGCAGUACCUACUUACUCUCAAACCCAUAUCCAUUAUUAUCACUAUAGACGUUUUCUGAAACAUUUUUUUUAAUCAAACCAUACAGCUCAAUGGAAAUUACUAUUAAAAAUGCAUUUCUCAUAGCAGUUAAAAUUUCUAUAGACCCGUGUUUCCCUAUUUACAUUGCGGCUUCAAAGUCAGUCCAAAAUGCAAUCAAUGAUAUCAUACGCAACUUACUAGGAAGACCAGAACUAACUACUUUUACAACUUUAUUUGUAAUGGUUAACUUAGGAAUAAUUAUAUCAAUACCUAUAGUUAUAUAUUUUGGAAUUCUAAGUUUUUUAGUGACUGUUAUAAUGUUUGAAGGUCUGCUAGUUCUAAUUUUUAUCCUUGUCAUAUUUAAUGGUAUGGUUAUUAUUAUAUUAGUAUUAGCAUUUAUUUCAAAAUGGUAAAAUGAA